CUCCACCUAGCUCCUUCAGGCCACGGCAGAGACAGGACAGUAGAGCGGGUAGCCCGGUGGUCUGUACAACCUUCUAGGGAAGAAGAAGAGACACAGUAGCCUUUCCUGGGUGGAAGAGACAAGCGAGAAAUACCACAUCAUUUUGGAACGAGGAACAGAAUGAGCACAGAUAGCUGGAAACUGGAAACUCUAAAAUGGGACCCAGGUAACUGCGGUAGCCUACAAAGGAGCAAGAGCUGUGAACCUAAGUGCUAACGCUUCCUUGGAGUGUGGAGAAAAUCUGGGACGGGGGAUUUAAACGGGUUCCUGAUUCAGCCAGAUCAGGAAAAAGUUGGAGUAGUUCAUCAUUAGGAACACAAGAAACUAUGACAAAUAUCAGCCGGAAACAGCUGGGGUUCAAGAUUGCACCACCACCGUCUUUGGACGGGUGAAUACUUACCUGAAAUGAAAGUCCUAACAUGAAUCCAA